rnacentral:lncRNA from 1 species
UUGAAUUAUUGUAUUCUUCUGCAACUUCAUCGAACACCUGAGGUUUUGCAUCGAGAGCCAUUUCUCACUCGGUGGUGGCUCCAUUGGAUUUUGCUACCUUGCAGCUGGCAAUGUCAUGCUCAAUCUAUGACAUUGUUGACAACUUGUUUCGAUGCCAAAUCAACUAUAAGAGAAUAGACUGCAAAAGAGUUUUUAGAUGCCAUAAUUCUCAAUAUUUCAGUAAACAUCUGAGUCAAUCUUGGGACAUAUAAUGAUGUACUAAUCUAACAGGAUCUUGAAAACCCUAGAAAGCAUGUACUGUUACCCAGUAUCGUGAUUUCAGUGAGUUGGAACCUUUAGACCUUACAGCUCCGGGCAUCACCAAUGACUUGUCUUUAUCUAGUCAUGUUCGAUCGGGGCAAAAUUGAACGACAAACUAAAAGAAUUCAGCCUAUCGAAUAUAUAAUAAAUAAAUAAAUAAAA